UACGUAGGUGGCAAGCGUUAUCCGGAUUUAUUGGGCGUAAAGGGAACGCAGGCGGUCUUUUAAGUCUGAUGUGAAAGCCUUCGGCUUAACCGGAGUAGUGCAUUGGAAACUGGGAGACUUGAGUGCAGAAGAGGAGAGUGGAACUCCAUGUGUAGCGGUGAAAUGCGUAGAUAUAUGGAAGAACACCAGUGGCAAAGCGGCUCUCUGGUCUGUAACUGACGCUGAGGUUCGAAAGCGUGGGUAGCAAACAGG
rnacentral:rRNA from 1 species